GGGGAAUUGUUCGCAAUGGGCGCAAGCCUGACGACGCAACGCCGCGUGGAGGAUGAAGGUCUUCGGAUUGUAAACUCCUGUUGCCCGGGACGAAUGGCUCCAACCUAAUACGUUGGAGUGUGACGGUACCGAGAGAAGAAGUCCCGGCUAACUCCGUGCCAGCAGCCGCGGUAAUACGGGGGGUGCGAGCGUUGUCCGGAAUCACUGGGCGUAAAGGGCGCGUAGGUGGUCUUAUAAGGGUGUGGUGAAAGCCCGGGGCUCAACCCCGGGUCGGCCGUGCCGACUGUAAGACUCGAGUGCUGUAGGGGCAGGCGGAAUUCCGGGUGUAGCGGUGGAAUGCGUAGAGAUCCGGAGGAAGACCGGUGGCGAAGGCGGCCUGCUGGGCAGUUACUGACACUGAGGCGCGACAGCGUGGGGAGCAAAC
rnacentral:rRNA from 1 species